AGCAGCAGCCGCGGUAAAACAGAGGGUGCGAGCGUUAAUCGGAUUUACUGGGCGUAAAGCGUGCGUAGGCGGCUUUUUAAGUCGGAUGUGAAAUCCCUGAGCUUAACUUAGGAAUUGCAUUCGAUACUGGGAAGCUAGAGUAUGGGAGAGGAUGGUAGAAUUCCAGGUGUAGCGGUGAAAUGCGUAGAGAUCUGGAGGAAUACCGAUGGCGAAGGCAGCCAUCUGGCCUAAUACUGACGCUGAGGUACGAAAGCAUGGGGAGCAAACAGGAUUAGAUACCCCAGUAGUCCCUGUCUCUUAUAC
rnacentral:rRNA from 1 species